UUUUUUUUUUUUUUUAAGGGCCACACCUGCAGCAUAUGGAUGUUCCCAGGUUAGGGUUUGAAUUGGAGCAGCAGCUGCCAACCUAUACCAGAGCUCACAGGAAUGCCAGAUCCUUAACCCAGUGAGUGCAGCCAGGGAUAGAACCCACAUUCUCAUGGAUGCUAGUCAGGUUGUUAACCCACUGAGCCACAAUAGGAACUCCUAUAAAUCCUAUCUUGAGUAAAAGUGGAUCAGUUGGAUAGAAUGGAUUCUUGAGGUGUAACGGAAUUCUAGUCACUCAAAGCUCCUCUAAAGUCUGUGCUUUACAAAGUGUGGUAUAUGUGCCCCUGCAGGUGUGUAAGAGGAUUUAAUUUGUAUGCAAGCAAAUAUUUUUACUACAAUUAUUCUAAAUUUAUUUUAUCGGUUAGGAAAAAUAUAAGUAAUAAACCAAAAAUAUGAUUUCACAGAUACUUCUUUAGGAUAAGAUUAAAGUAUUUAUGUUUAAUUGUUUGAGUUGAUUUACAAAAAAGUAAAUAAUAAUCUAGGUGAUAUAAAAUCAAAAUGAUGAAGAUGAGCAUAUGAAAAAAUGAAAUUAGAGAAAUGCCUCCUACAUAAUAUAUGCUGCCCUGGCAUAUCUGGCAAGAGCAGAAGGUUGGAGACCUAUUACGCUCAGUAAAUAUACUAACACACUCUGAAUGAUCUCAUAAAAAUCACCACUGUCCAGUGAUGUACAGUAGUUAGACUACAUGUAUCUACAUAAGACAUGUUUCCAUUUCAUGCUCUAUGAUGUGAAAAAAAGACUUUUUUGAUUCUCUAUGAUGUGAAAAAAAGACGUUUCUGAAUUAUGUAAGAUUUAUGUCUACUGUAAACAUUGCUCACUUUUUUGCUCUUGAUUUUAAAAAAAUGUUUUGAUGAAACUGCUAUUGAAUAUUACAAUCUAUAUAGUAUCAUGUAAAUUAUAUUAUAAUAUUGUAUUAUAGAUUCUAUUAUAUUCUUUUUGGUUUAUGGUUAUCUUUUUCCUGUCUAUUGAAUUUAUUUUUUAUUUCAUUGAAAUGUAGUUCACUUCCAGUCAUGUGAUAAUUUCUGCUGUACAACAAAGUGCAUAUAUGUGUAACUGCAUCACUUUGUUGGAUGUUUCUUUUGUCAACAUGAUCUCCUAUGUCACCAAUGUGUGUGGAAAUUCUUCUCCCUAAAGAGUACUUAAUCUUUGCUUUCUUUCCUCAAUGUCUUUGCUUGCAAGUUUUAAGCCCGAGGCAAGUAAAAUUCCAUUAAUUUCCAAGAAUGAGGUGUUGGUACUUUUCUAAUAAAGAGAGAACUUAGCUCAACAAUAACAACAACAAACCCCAACCCAGUAGCUCUCCUGGGUUAUUUUGAGGCUGAACUUUAGUUUUCUAAGGUGGAAUCUUUCUUCUUCAGCUCUACAGAGUGGCCAAAUGGAAUGUCACUGGGCCAGGAAGAAUUGUGGACCUUCCCCAGGGGGCUAGUUUAAGAUCUCAGAGGCUUUCCAGGAAUCACCAGGCAAUGUUAUGGGGGAUCAGGGUUUCUGUCGAACCAGCCUACCUAGUUUGAAUCUGGUCUGGACCCCUACCCUGGGGUUUCCUGUUCCCAUUUGAAAAAAUAAAAACUGGUGAUAGGACCCAAAAGAAACAUUUUUUAAAAGGCAUGUCAUCUAGACCUGUAACAAGUAGUGCAAUAGGACUAAAACGAAGUCUGCUGAGGCACAAGAAAGCCCUACGCAGCCACUCAGUACCCUAGGCGCAUGAGGAGGUCACUCCCCAAGCAUGGAAAAUACAGCCUUCAUGGUCCAUCCUAAAGCAUGACCACAUGUUUUAAAGUAGUGAUGGUUUGAGAAGGUAAAAGGCUCUUGGCGGUGAGCUGUGAUGUCAGAGCAAGGGUAGGAUGGAGACUGGGAGCACAGGUUAGAUCCUUGUAGGCAUCCUAGUGCCAGGCUACACACUGGGAGCCAAGAUCAGAAUGCGUGGAAGCUUGGGACUGAGGGCAGGGUCAGGAAUGGAAACCCAUCCCCAUACCAGCCCAUCAGUUAUGCUGUUAUGCUCCUGUUAUGACCUAUGUUUCUGUUAUGCUCCAGGUCCCACUCUAGGCAAAGCAGACACUUACUGGUGCCUGGUAUGCACCCUGUUACAUCUGUGUCAAGAAAAGGUGCAACACAAGAAAUGCCAACUAGACCCAGAACUGGAGAGGUUCCCUAAAGAUGCUUAAAUACAAGGGGCAGGGGACAACUCAGAGUUGAACAUCAGUGCAAGAGUCACUUGAGCUGGGGGCCAGUUGUCCACAAUAGAGGAAGACCAUGCCACCCACCCCAAACCAUGGUCCAGAACCUGCCCCAUCUGCUUGCUGCCGAGAUAUCUGCCAUCUGUCCAAGGAAGUGGGUAGGAGUCAAGGAAGCUUCAGGUACUGAUGGUACUUCCAGUGGACAAGGAAGGCAGGAGUCAAAAGGGGAGAUGCAGGAGAGGGCUCCCAAGUGAAAUAAAAAGAUCAGAUAUGAAACAUUGGCUCCAAGGAAAACUUCAACAGCCACAACCAAGUAAUUAGUGUGAUAACUCCUCUCAAAAAGCUCAUCUCAGACAUUAUAGCCUCUCUGAAACCCUGGGGUCACCUUUCUCCAGGUUUGGCUAGUUGCUCCUCUGUAUACUGUUCUUAAUCCUCAUACAACUUACUACCUCGUCCUGGUCAACUUACUCCUCUCUCUUGUAAGGACAGAAGUUAUGUCUUACUCAUGUGAGUAUUUCUAAUACCCCAUAGAGGGGGAUGGGAUUUUGGAAAGAGAGGGAGAGAGAGGUGGGGAGGUAGGAAGAAGGCAGGAGAGAGGAAGAAGGAAAGCGAAAAAUAGAGAGAUUAAGUGAAUUUGAACCCAGCUGGCAAAGCUCCACCAUAGCCAAAUCACUUGGCGAUCCCAAGGGGUGAGUUAUCAAAGGGUUUUGACUACAUUUCAAAAGUUAGCUCUCGCUUGCUAAUGCUUUGGGAGUAACUCGUGGUGCAAGCAGGGUGCUUUGCUGAAUCCAAUGUCACCCCCUCACUGCAUUAGUGUGACACUUCUUUCUCUUUCCAUGAAGACCCACCCUCCCUCUUCUUUAGAGCCAUUGUCUGCUUGACAUGAAAAAUGUCCUAUAGAAAAUGUAAUCGCUAAUGACAUCAAUGGACAAAGAUCCAACUCCCAGAUGCAGAAUGAUUAACCACGAAAACCAACUCUUCAAUAAUGAUUUUCCAGUCCUUUUAUUUUCAGCUGGCGUUGGUUUUCUGCCUGUGCAGUGAGGUUCUCCCAAGUCCCCAGAUGCUUUCACCUGAAGUCAAUGCAUAGUAAAAACCCUCUCGCAAAAGUGGAGCUCAGCAUUAGAAAAAGUUUAAGGAGCUCCCAUCACGCCUCAGUGGUUAGCAAAUCCAGCUAGGAGCCAUUAGGUUGCGGGUUCGACCCCUGGCCUUGCUCAAUGAGUUAAGGAUCUGGCAUUGCCGUGAGCUAUGGUGUAGGUCGCAGACAAGGUUCAGAUAUGGCACUGCUGUGCUGUGGUGUAGGCCGGUGACUACAGCUCUGAUUGGAUGUCUAGCCUAGGAACCUCCAUGUGCCGCAGGUGCAGCCCUAGAAAAGACAAAAAAAAAAAAAAAGAAAAAGAAGAAGUUUGAACUGCCAGUCCCCUGACUGAGCCGCUCACCUUGGUUUCCCUUCCGAGGAAGUACACAACUUCAAAUGACAUUUACUUUAAGCUCCUGAGUUUUCUUGACUUCUAAACUCUCCCUGGGCAGUUCCUGUCCUACCUCAGCGAUAACGAGACCGACUAGCAUUCCAUGAGGAUGCAGGUUUAAUCCCUGGCUUCGCUCAGUGGGUUAAGGACCCAGUGUUGCCCUGAGCUGUCGUGUGGGUUGCAGAUGAGGCUCAGAUCUGGUAUGGCUCUGGCUGUGGUAUAGGCUAGUAGCUGAAGUUGCGAUUCAACCCCUAGCCAGGGAAUUUCCAUACGCCAUGGGUUCAGCCCUCAAAAGACGAAAAAAUAAAUAAACAUAAAAAAAUAAAAUCUCCAUAGAUUUUCCUCACACCCCACCCUUGUAUCCUUCCUACUUCCCUAGGCAUUUGCAGGCGCCUGCUCACCAGUCUCGGGCCAGGCCCUGUGCUUCUAGCCUUGCACGGUGCACAUGAGCCUGUAAUCUCAAAGGUAGGAGGUGAGUGUGGCAGGAGGGCACCCUUCCCUGUUGCUCAGGACCCCUCCAUCUCUGCUAGAAAGUGGCCUGCAGGGCUCAUCUCCACCUGGACAGGUAUGGAGCCCCUAUUGGAGCCCUGCCCUGCACUAAGGUGGAGAUGGAGGCAAAGGCCAAUAGGAUGUAGGUGAUUGAGCCUCUGGGUCUCCACCUGGCAAACGCCCUUCCCUUCAAUCCCAGCUCCAAGGUCACCUCCUCUGUGAAGGCUUUCCUGCUAGGACCGCCCUCUUUGGCCCCCGGCCCCCUGUUCAUGUUUCUAUUCCAGUGCUUAUCCUGUGUUAGGACUUAAGGCAAACUAAUUAUACCCCCGCCCUCUGAUUUUGGAAUCAGUUGAGGAAUAUACAUAUGAGUUGAAGAGACGGAGCUCAGGACAUCAGCUUCCUUUACAUAUCUGAAGCUGGUGGGAGGAAAUAAUGGACCUGCUUAUUCCAUUAAAUUCCACUCCAAACGUAAGGAUGACUUUUGGUGUGUAGGUACUACUCGGGUGUCAUUUUAUUUCUCCCUGGUGCAUUUUAGGAACAAGGAGGUCAAUAUUCUUUGCCAACUUAGCUACCAUUUCAGACUCGCUAGACUCCUUUUGGUUUCCUAUAUAAACAAUAAAAGUGCAGGUCUCAAAAUAGAACAGCACACUGGAAAAUUUCCCCCACAAAGAGGGACCUAAUUGUGCAAAACAGGAGCAGGCCCUCAAGUUGGCACCCACUAGACCUAGAGACAGAAACCAGUGAUGUCACUGCUUCCCUACCUCACCCGGGCCCUUCCUAAUGCAGCCAACAGAGAAAAAAGAAAACAGAGAAGAGAGAAGCCAGCAAGAUGCCACUGUUUUAUUAUAGUAAUUAGACCAAUGUGCACAAAGCAGCUUUCAUGCUAAAUCCCAAAAGGAACUCCUGCCAGGAAAAUACAUCUUUUUCCUCCCCCACAGUCCAGAAUCUCCUGAUCCAUCUCUCCUGCUCCUAAAAUUUGAAAUGAAGUUCAGACCCAUCAUCUGGUACCUUG
rnacentral:lncRNA from 1 species